UAACUUCAAAGAAGAAGUUAUAUAUCCAGAUUAUGAAACAGAUUGCGAGUUUCCUUGCAUUUUGAAUGAAAAGAUAAAUUGAUAAUAUAUCCUUUGACAAAACCCAAUAGAAAGUUAAAUAAACAAGCUAACUGCAAAAUUUCCUAUCUUUUGUUAUGCAACUUUAUGUUGAAGGAAUGUAAUUCUGCUCUGUAGACUUUUUGAAAAGUGUGUCGUCGUACAUUCCACCUAUGAUAAUGAGAGACGAAAUCUGACAUCUGACUGGAGUUUUCUUCCUGGGUAGUUUGACACUCUCACCUGGUGUUGCUUUCAGAUGUCUGCCAUCGCUAAGGUUUGAAAGAUAUAAUACCUUCUUGUUGCCUACUGAUGGGUUUACAAUUUUGUCACAAGAGCUUUCGUGUUUGCACAAGGUCACCAGUAAUGGCAUGAAAGAAAAAUUACUCAGUUGGAUAUGUCAACUGUCCCUAGAAAGUCAUGCAUGUUAAAGACUUGGAUUGACUGAUUUUGAAUAUGGACACGCCCCAAAAAGAAGCACCUUCUUUCAUCCCUGCAAAGUCUGCCUCAUCAGCCUCGCCUUGGGAGAAGCCCUGCAGUGGUGACAUAGGAGCCCACCGAUCCUGCACAGCCUGCAAAAAAUGGAUGAGUACAUUCAGACACAAUAGACAUUCUCUUUGCAUUAGCUAUAUGAAGGUGCAGUGUAAUAUUAACAGAGAUGUGAGGAAUUUAGGGAUUGGUCGGUAGAACAAAUGGAUGCCUAUUUAAAACAUAGUCGCUAAGAGUAAGCGUAGGCAAAUAACAGCACUUAAGAAGAGAGAGGAAGAAGGUAUUGAAUGUUUUUUUUAGGAAAUUAGAAGAUAGGUUGUCUUCAAGUAGGACAAGUCUUUUUUUCAAAUUUCAUGGCUAAGAUAAAUGAAGAAGAGGAUACUAACAGUAGUAUUGCAGAUACUAAUCGUUCUUUUUCAGCUCCCCUGCCUGUUCCAGAACCAGCCCUAACGGGUGCCAGGGGUCAUGGAGAACCACAAACCCGGAGGGUAGGAUCUACUAGCCCCCCAGCAUGGAGCAGGCAGUGUUAGCAGCAGAAUUCCCCAUUUCCCCUUUAAGGUAAGUUCUCAGGGUGAAUUAGCAAUAGGUGAGACACAGACAGCUAGGAAUCUUACAUUAGGUGUGCAGGAAGAGAAGUUGCAGGGGCAGUUGCUUUCUGGUUCUGAUGCAAGUUCUUUUUCGGGCAGGGUGGGGUCUCAUUUAGAUCCUGCAGAGAUUUUGUUCCCUUCCUCGAACUUGUCUCGUCAUAAGGCUUCUAAGCCAUCAGGGGAUACUGUAGUGGAGGCAGUGUCUUCUGUUGAAUGUAAGGAUGACUCUCCUUCGUCUUUGAAGGUUCCCUUUCCUUUGAAGGUUACAUCGGAGUUAUUGGCUGGUGACGAUUCUUUGGAGAAUUUGUCGUUUAAUCUGGCCGAAUAUAAUGCUGACUUCUUAGGUUUAUUGGAAGGUUAUAGGGUAUUGGUCAGGCAGUGCAUGCACUUUGGUUUUUCCAAUAUGUAUUUGGGAGCAUGCUCAGGAAUUUUCCUGAGUUUACUGGUUAGAUGUGUCAGGAUUACCAGGGAGGAGGAGAUUCUAUAUCUUUUCUGUCUCUCCGAAAGAUGGCUUCGUCCUCUACCUCCUUUUCUUCUUUGCUUCCUUCUGUCUCAAGUGUUUCCCUUCAUCCUUUAUCACCCAAAUCUUGUUCUCAGACUGUCUCUCAUCUUUCCCUUUUGGGGUCAUACUUCGGUAUCUUCUGCUGACUGUCCUCAGGCAUCUCCUAUGGGUUCGCCUCCUGUUGUUACCUUCUCUUUGGGGCAAGCGUUUUCUCUGUCAGGGUUUUUUAUCUGAGGCAGAGGCUUCCGCAAGGUUUUAUUCAAACCAGUUGCCAGAUGUGGGUCUUGAUAUUUAAGGUGUAGGUCAGGCUCAAUCUGUCGUUUUGAAAGUAGCGAACUUUUCACCCGAGAUUCUCUCAGGUCCGCUGGCUACAGCUUUUCCUCUUCCCUCCGGUGCGGAGAUAAUAGAUAUGCCUUGUCCGCAUCGGCCUCAGUAGACCAGAUAUGUUCCUUGAGUGCGCCUGUUAGUGCAGGGUCAGUGGGUAUGUUUUCUACCUGUCCAACUUCCGCGGUUGGAGUUACGGUGGUUGUGCCGAGUAUGACUGCUUCCCAUUUCUUUUCUCCUCCUAUGUCCUUCUCAGCACUUCCUCAAGGUGUGGUGGUUUCUCCCUCUAAUAGAUAUGGUGUUGGUUCAGGGUUUGUGUCGUGUGUGUCGGGGAUAGUUACUCCCUCAUCCUUCUUUGAUGUUUCCGCUAUGGGGGUUUUCCGUCCAAACAGGACGAUGGUUCAUUCAGGUUUGGGCGUUGCGGCUUCACCAAUCUUAGGUGCUGGGGCGGUUCAUCUGGUAGUUUUGGGCUCAGGUGUUUCACCUUCGGGAUUGUGUGAUUCAGGUUUAGCGCAGUUGGCUGUGACUUGUGCAGCGAUUUCGUCAUCUUCUUUCAGUGGUGGGAGGGUUGUGCAACCGAGUACGCUCGGCUCAGGUGGGUGUGUCCCAGGUAGGUGCGGUUCGGAGGUGGCGCACCCUUUUGUUGACCGCCCGACAGUUUUAGGAGUUACAUCAAAGCUCAUAGGGGAUGGAGGUCUUGUGCAACCAUUAGCAGUUGGCUCAGAGUUAUUGCCAGGAAUGCUAGGUCAUGUAUCUAAGGGUACAGAGGUUGUGGGUUCCCCUUGUUCGGGGUUAGGUAGUCUUGGUGUGCAUCCUGUCUCAUUCCUGCUCCAUUGUGGUCAGAAGAUUUAGAUGGAAACGUUAUAUCAGAUGACGAAGGUCCUGUGAUGGAAGUUGGCUUUCCCCAAGCGGGAGAAAGCGAGAAUAAGCGGAUGGUGGAGUUCAUCCAUUCUCUCUUUCCUCAGUCUAGGGUUUCGGAGGACCCGGUACAGCCUAAGUAGGCUAUAUUAAUAAACAUUACCUUAAUAUAAUUUAUCUAGCCCUAAAUCCCCAAAAACCUCACCAAUAUUUAUCACAUUGACAACCCUGUUACCUCCUGUUCUGUCCGCCAGUUGGCAACACUUCCGUUGACAGUUACAAAACCUUCCCUUGAAAAUCAGUCGUUACCGAGUGCCCGUGCUGUUUACAUCAUGGCUGCUCUUUAUAAAUUUCCUAAACCUUUUUGUGCCUUUAAAGCUCUCAUUAAUUGUUAAUGCGACUUUAUGUUAAUUACCACUCACGUAUUACAUCCACGAAAUAGUGAAUUAACUUUUAUUUCUAUUGUGGUAUUUAUUUUAUAUUACGAACUUUUGCGCGACCCGUAAUUACGUGACCUGUCCAACAGUCUAAUGGAUUGCCAAGAUAAUUCGAUGCUUCCUUCUGCCAGCAACAUCAGGAAUUGCCCCGGCUUGUGGGACAAGGAUGAGUAGCAGGGAGUAUGAACCCCAUGACAUUUGUAGCUUUUGUCAUGGACAGGUUUGUGACUUGACUUCUCGUUGUGACUUAUGUAAGCCUUGGUCUGACGAAGACAUGACGACUUAUAUGAAACAUCAAAGAAUCUUGCAGCGUAACAGAUUGAUUAAAGAGAAAAAGAAAUCAGUAGCUAGACCUGUAUCUAAUGAUUUUCUUGACUUGUGCGCUCAUGGUUCUGGCUCUUCGGUUUUGGUAUCGUGUGAUUCCGAUUCCGAAUUAAUUGAUGCUUUGCCACCUGUACAACCGGUAAAUAGUAAAGUUGUUUCUGAUGUUGAUUCAGUUUUUGACGAUGGAAACUAGUUGGAAACAGAAAUUUGAAAAGUUACAGCUUAGUUUAGAUAGACAUGUCAGAGAAUUUUGAAGAAGUUUUUACUAGAAUGUCUAACACUCUUUUAGAUUCAUUUUCAGCUCCUCGUCAGGUACCUGUCGACAGCACCAUGGGUAACGGUGUGACAGAUACCCCGACUUGUGAACCACGUCGUUGCGAAGGCCUAGGGGGGGAUCCAGUCUGGGCAGGUGCCUGACGAUUCUUUACCCAGUGUUUCCCAUAACAGUGCCAAAGGGCGCUUAUUUAGGAGAAGGGGGGAGGGGUAUUAGUGUUAGACCUAAGAUAGCUAGUCGUUAGGAUCUUACUUCAGGGGAAGUUUCUCAGUUAGGAUCUGAUGAUGAUGAUGAUGAUGUGGAUUCUUGUGAUAUUGAUGUUUCUUUGAACAGCGGUCAUGAUGUCAAGUUCAAGAAACUUUUUGAUUUAAUUUUGAGUUUUCUUCCUCAGGCGAGGCCUAAAGAGCAGAAACAGCCUCCGCCUCAUAUUACAGAAGGGAUUUUUCUUGAUGGUCUUUCCCGGUCGCGGGAGUUUGUACGUUUUCCCUUUGCUCAGAGGUUCGCGAGAGUGAGGGCGGACGUUGCUGCUAAACUUUCAAAGGUGAUCAGAGAAGGAAAGAGGAAGCUCUCUUCUCUUCUAUGACAUUGGAGAGGAGUUUAUCAGGUGGCGGAUGAUACUCAUUCUCUCGACCCCCCAAACCAAAUCCUGAUUUACUCCGACUUUUGGGUCAACCUUUGCUUUCCAAGGCUUUGGUCUCGGUCUCAAUCGAAGACUUUAUUGCCAUGGAGUCUGUUAUGAGCUCCUUACAAGAAGCUCAAUCCUUCAAUAUGUGGGUCCUCAGAGGUCUUUUAAUGUAUAUUAAGGACUCCGGGUUUGUUCCUCCCGAUGCUCCUCUUUUUGAGAAAUUCUGCUCAUCUAUUUUAAUCGCUUCUGUACAUCAGAACGAGCUUGCCGCUUCAAUGCAGGCCUUUCUUGUUUCUCUAAGGCAUAACCUGUAUUUGUCGCAGUUACCCUCCUUUGUAUUGGAGAUUCAGAGAAACUGUUUCUUGUCUCUUCUCCUUUUGGCGAUUCCCUAUUUGAUAUGUGUGCUUUCUGAGGUUUUGAAGUAACAUCAAGGUGAUGCCUCUUCCCAAGCUCACUGGGCCUUAUCAAGGGCUUUUUCCUAUGGUUUUCCUCCUGUUCUUUCAAGGAGCAAGACUAAGUUUAGUGCCAGAUCUGUACCUUCUGCUCCAGCCCAACAACCUCCUCCUUCUGGCUCGUUUUUCCAGAGUACAUCUCAGUUUUCUGGCGCCUCAGCUUCCUCCUCUGGUGCUCACUCUUUGAAACGUUCGAGAGGUUCUUGGCGUGGCUCUAAGGGCAGGGGAAGAGCUCAACCUCCAGGAGGACCUUCUUCUUCUUCCUUGUCUCUGCGUAAGAAUUUUCGGAAGUAGGAGUCAUUACCUCGCCCGGAGACCGCAGUAGGAGCUUGUCUCUCUCGCCAUUGGUCAGCUUGGCAGGAGAGAGCAGUGGAUGCUUGGGUAGUGGAGGUCCUGAAGGUAGAUUACGAGAUCCCUUCUGUUUCGAGACCUCCACUUUCCAAUCGUCCUCUUGAGUUCAGCAGUUAUUCCCCUCACUCAAUCAGGGGUCAAGCCUUGGAGAAGGAACUUUUGGCUCUCUUGGAGAAGGAUGCCAUAGAGCGAGCUCCUCCUCCUGGGUUUUACUCACUGGUGUUUGUAGUUCUAAAGGCCUCGGUUGCAUGGUGCCCCACCAUAGAUCUUUCGGUCUUGAACAAGUUCAUUCUAAAGUCCAAGUUCCGGAUGGAGACGGUUCAGACUGUUCUUUUAUCCAUCAGGAUGGGGGACUGGAAGAUUUCCAUCGAUCUGCAGGAUGCUUAUCUGCAAAUCCCCAUCCAUCCGAAGAGCAGACCUUACCUUUGGUUUUUCAUGGACACGGGAGUUUUCCAGUUCAAGACCCUUUGUUUCGGCCUCACCACUGCUCCACAGGUCUUUUCUCGGGUGAUGGCUCCUGUUUCGGCUAUUCUGCAUCAGUUAAAUGUAAGGAUGCUUCGGUAUCUGGGCAAUUGGCUAGUCCAGGCCGAAUCUCUAGAGAAAUGUCUCCGGUCGAGGGAGAUAGUUCUGUCUCAUUAUGUUGAGUUGGGCAUUCGUUUCAACUUCGACAAGUCCAGUCUAAUCCCUUGCCAGAUCAUGACUUAUCUGGGGAUUAUUUUGAAUUCCCAGAUUUUGAGGGCUUCCCCUGCUCCAAAACGUAUAGACAAGCUUCUAAGUCUGGUCGAAGAAUUUUUGUCCUCCGUAAUGCAGCCAGUUUCUCUUUGGAGGACUCCUGGGCCAUUUGUCAUCCCUCAUCCAACUGGUUCCUGGAGGUCGUCCUAGAAUGAGGUCCCUUCAGUCGACACUUCGCCAGUCGUGGGAUUUCGUGUCUGAGAACACGAUAGUCACCUCCUCUCCACAAUGUCGGAAGGAUCUCCGUUGGUGGAUGCAAGUUCACCGUCUCAAGUCAGGGACGUCUCUUCUUUCAGUUCCGCCGGACAUAAUGUUUUGGUCAGACGCCUCGGAUCAAGGUUGGGGCGCGCACCUGGGCUCCGAAGCCGCUUCGGGCCUUUGGUCAUAGGAAGAGAGGAUCAUGUCAAUAAAUUGGAGGGAACUAAAGGCAGUGUACCUAGGCCUUCUUUCAUUUCAGGAUCAACUGUUUGAGUCGGUUGUCGCUAUCUUCAUCGACAACACCACAGCAGUCUCGUACUUUAGAAACCAAGGUGGCACACAAAGAAACCAAGGUGGCACACAGUCAGACCUUCUCACUCAAGAACCCUGAUCAAUCCUGUGUUGGGGAGAAGACAGGGGGAUUAUGUUGGUCCCUCAGUUUAUCCUGGGCCAGCGGGCAGCAUGUAGUAUGGGACUUACUGAGGCAGUGGCUUGACAGUUGUCUUUCUGCCUAAGGAGAUUGACCAGAAGACUAUCAGGCUAGAUGGGCAAUGUACCGCAACUGUUGUAGGAAGGAAGGGCACAGUAUUUCUUGCCCCACCAUUGUGAAAGUAGUAGAUUUCCUCCUGUUCCUCAGAAAGUCAAAGAAGUUGUCUUAUUUGACAAUUGCUAGGUAUAGAUCCAUGCUUAGUAGUACCUUUAGGUUCCACCUUCCGGAACUGUCAAACAACAGAGUCUUACAUGAUCUCCUAAGGUCUUUUAAGAUUGUGUCCAGUUAUUCCGCUUCGGGCCCCUUCGUGGGAUAUAGUGAAGGUGUUGAAUUUACUGAGCUCUCCGGGUUUUGAACCCUUAGAGAACUUGUCAUUAAGGGAACUGACCAAGAAGUUAAUGUUCUUGGUCUCGCUCGCCACAGCGAAGAGAGUAGGAGAGAUUCAGGCAGUGGCUAGGAGAGUAUUGUUCUCAGGUUAGGACAUUUAUCUUGCCUACCUUCCAGAGUUUGUCACCAAGUUUGAGUCUGAGAUUAAUCCCCUGCCGAGAAAUUUUAAGGUUUCCUCGCUAUAGGAUUUUGUUGGAGGUAACGCAUUAGAGAUGCGCCUGUGUUCGGUUCGAGCUCUAAAGACCUAUCUGUCCUGCACUGCAAACCUGCAAAACUCUUGCUGCAUCCUCGGGCCUUAUUUGUGUCUCCAAAGAACUCUUCCAAGGCGAUUUCAAAGAACACUAUCAGCUUUUUACACGAGGUGAUUUCUCAGGCUACCCUUAGCUCAUCAUCAUCCGGUGCAGCGAGUGCUGCUCCUCGACCAAGGGUGCACAGUGCAGGCAGUCCCCGGUUAUCAGAGGGGGGGUUUCGUUUCCCGCGGGUGGUUGCUGAUAAGCGAAAACUGCCAUUAACUGAAACUAGCAAUUUAUGGCGCCAUAAUGGCAGUUAUAGCGCCGUUAAACGGUAAUCGCUGCCAUAAGCACAAUUAUGGCGCCUCAGUUAGGUAUGUUAUGACACCUUAUGGCGCCAAUAACCGGAACUUGGCCUGUUAUGGGGCCAUAAAAUUGCUGAUUUCAUGGCACUAGACAAGAGCCAUAAAACUGGGUCUGCCGAUAACCGGGGACUGCCUGUAUUAGGGGCUUAGCUACCUCUAGUGCGUUUCUGAAUCAUUUCUUUAAGUUAGGGUUUUUCCUUGUGUGUUUGUUAUCAACUCGGAAGGUAGGCGAUUGCCUGGCUGAACGGCUUCAUCGACUCUCGUGCACACUCUUCACCUGCAAGUGAUCGGCGGAGAACCCAAAGGACUGCUCAUGUAACUUCUCUAUACAUGAGAGGCUAGACAGCGACAUGGGAGGCUUCAAUUCCCUCCAUACAUGCGAGGUAUUGAAUACCACAUGGGAGGCCAGCCUGACGGACGAGACCUGACUAACAAGACUGACGUGAGGUACUCUCUCCACUUCCAAUCUCACCUAGUGAAUUGAUAAAAUAGGGGAGUCCACAUACAUUAUACAUAGUGGGUGGAACUUAGUUACCUGCAAUGUUCAGUGGAGGG